GUGGGCUUGGGGACGACUUGCCGGAGCCGGAGUUGACCAGUUCAAGGUCGGCAGUGGUGGAUGACUUCGAGGAAGAAGAAGCCGAGGCAACGGCUUAGGGAGGUCCCCGCUCGUGUGCGUCGUCGUGGCGGUCGAGGAAGUCGAGGCGCAGGCCCUGGGCAUCUCCGAGCGAGACGAGGUGGCUCCAGAGCAUGCGUAUAGAGGGUCAUGGCGAUGGCGGUUGGCGUCGAGGCGCCUGGUUCGGCCCGAUCCAGAUCGGAUCGGGAGGGGAGAGGAGUGGGGAGUGGGGAAC
rnacentral:rRNA from 1 species